rnacentral:rRNA from 1 species
CGAGUGAAGCGGCAAAAGCUCAAAUUUGAAACCCUCGGGAUUGUAAUUUGAAGAUUUGGCAUUGGAGAAAGCUAACCCAAGUUGCUUGGAAUAGUACGUCAUAGAGGGUGACAACCCCGUCUGGCUAACCGUUCUCCAUGUAUUGCCUUAUCAAAGAGUCGAGUUGUUUGGGAAUGCAGCUCAAAGUGGGUGGUAAACUCCAUCUAAAGCUAAAUACUGGUGAGAGACCGAUAGCGAACAAGUACUGUGAAGGAAAGGUGAAAAGAACUUUGAAAAGAGAGUGAAAUAGUAUGUGAAAUUGUUGAUAGGGAAGGAAAUGAGUGGAGAGUGGCCGAGGUUUCAGCCGCCCCUCGUGGGCGGUGUACUGCCGACGCCGAGUCAUCGAUAGCGAGACGAGGGUUACAAAUGGGAGCGCCUUUCGGGCGUUCUCCCCUAACCCUCCACACUGCCACCGACGACAUAAUCCACCCAUUUCACCCGUCUUGUA